CAUAGAGCAGGGGAAGAUUUGGAGUAUUCGCUUCGGAUUCUAGGGAUUUUGCCUGAGGCAAAUCAGAAGCAUUUUGUGAGUCGCGGGAAGAUGAAGCAUCGGAAAAAACCUGAAAGGAUUUAGGCUUUGAAGGAAGAGUAGAGGAUGAAACCGGCUUUGAGCCCAAAACAAUACGAGGAGGAGGAAAUGGAGAAGAAUAGGGUGCAUCAUGAAUAGAAGGGUGAGCGUUAUGCAAAUCGUAGGCACGAGAGAACUCAGCAGCGUUCCUUAACAAUCGAACCAAAGGCCUCGCUUCUCGAGAAACAGCUGCAUGAAAUACUUCAGAAGCCUCUUUCCAACGUUGCAUUCUAAUGAGCAAAGAACCAUAUUCUUCGUAGAACAAAGCGAGUUCAAGGCCUAUGCCUUUCGAUGCCAAUUGGUAAAAUUGCUUGGCCGCCUGUUGCAAUUCAUCAGGAGUUUCGUAUGAUUGUUUAAUUUUCGCAAGCUGUAUGAGAAGAUGACGAACAUCAUUAAGCGCGAAGCGACAUCUUUCUAAGUACUGAAUAGCAUCAUCAAGCAUUUUGUUGACCGUUU